rnacentral:rRNA from 1 species
UACGAAGGGGGCUAGCGUUGCUCGGAAUCACUGGGCGUAAAGCGCACGUAGGCGGCUUUCUAAGUCAGGGGUGAAAUCCUGGAGCUCAACUCCAGAACUGCCUUUGAUACUGGGGAUCUCGAGUCCGGAAGAGGUGAGUGGAAUUCCCAGUGUAGCGGUGAAAUGCGUAGAUAUUGGGAGGAACACCAGUGGCGAAGGCGGCUCACUGGACCGGAACUGACGCUGAGGCGCGAAAGCGUGGGGAGCAAACAGG